rnacentral:lncRNA from 10 species
AGAAAGAAGAUGAGACUACAGAAUAUUAGGAAAUACAUUGCCAUGAACAAGUAGGAUUUGAAAGCAGUCUGCUGUCUUAUGCACUGAAGCUGAGGACCCACACUUUAACAGAAUCUAAAUGCCAGAAGAAACAUGGACUCAGCCCAGAAUUCUCACCUUUCAAAGUGGAUCCUUGAAAUUCCUGAAGGCGGCCUGCUUAGAAUUUUGUUUUGUUUUAUUUUUAGUUUCCUUUUCCUUUUAUGACCUCCCAAAACAAAAGAGGUCACCUGUCCUGCUCUGAUGUUUCUACUCUUCCUUUUGCCUCCUUUCCCCCAACACACCACUGUUCCACAGAUUCCAGUACUCUGUAUG